rnacentral:rRNA from 1 species
UACGGGGGGAGCAAGCGUUGUUCGGAUUUACUGGGCGUAAGGGCGCGUAGGCGGCCUCUUAAGUCGAACGUGAAAUCCCCGGGCUCAACCCGGGAACUGCGUCCGAUACUGGGGGGCUUGAAUCCGGGAGAGGGAUGUGGAAUUCCAGGUGUAGCGGUGAAAUGCGUAGAUAUCUGGAGGAACACCGGUGGCGAAGGCGGCAUCCUGGACCGGUAUUGACGCUGAGGCGCGAAAGCCAGGGAGCAAAGCGGG